AUGAAUGAUCCCAAGUAUGCCUAUCCAUACCCUGCACAAGGAUAUUAUCAAGGUCCCCCAGUGAUGGCACCACCUCAAUAUGCUGCUCCACCACCCAGAAGACAGAGUGCUGGAUUCCUUGAGGGAUGUUUUGCAGCUCUAUGUUGUUGUUGUCUCAUAGAUGAGUGUUGCUGUGACCCUUCAAUCUUAUGUAUCUUCUGA